rnacentral:rRNA from 1 species
CCUACGGGUGGUUGCAGUGGGGAAUAUUGGACAAUGGGGGCAACCCUGAUCCAGCCAUGCCGCGUGUGUGAAGAAGGCCCUCGGGUUGUAAAGCACUUUCAGUGAGGAAGAACGCCUGGUGGUUAAUACCCAUCAGGAAAGACAUCACUCACAGAAGAAGCACCGGCUAACUCCGUGCCAGCAGCCGCGGUAAUACGGAGGGUGCGAGCGUUAAUCGGAAUUACUGGGCGUAAAGCGCGCGUAGGUGGCUUGAUAAGCCGGUUGUGAAAGCCCCGGGCUCAACCUGGGAACGGCAUCCGGAACUGUCAAGCUAGAGUGCAGGAGAGGAAGGUAGAAUUCCCGGUGUAGCGGUGAAAUGCGUAGAGAUCGGGAGGAAUACCAGUGGCGAAGGCGGCCUUCUGGACUGACACUGACACUGAGGUGCGAAAGCGUGGGUAGCAAACAGGAUUAGAUACCCCAGUAGUC